GAUUUGCGGAUAUGAAUUCUCCGAAAAGCGUUCGCGAGAGUUUCCUUGAAAACAAGAGUGAGCCCCGUCGCAGAGCGACGACAGGCUCGCACCUCUCCCUCUCUCUCCCGGCGUCCUCGCCCCACACCGCUGGCCAACGGCGUGAGAGAGAUGGGCGCCGAUGAGAGAGGGAUGGCAAUACGACAGAAGUCAGUCGCGUUAGACAUUCGGGAAACAGUUCGCUCGAACAACCAUCUCACAACGUCAAAUAACGCAUAUAGUCAGGAAAGUCACGUAGGACCAAUCAAGCAACAUCCAGUCAGUUAAUAAAAUAAAAUAAACCAAAAUAGAAUCAAAGCAACCAAGGCAGCAGGUAUCUAGCAGAAAGGAAAUAUAAAAGAAAAGAAAAGAAGCAAACAAGGAACAGCACACCGUCAUCAAAAAGCUAUACUAUUAUCGAAGAGAAACGGCUUGAAUAAAUUAAAUUAAAGAAUACCAGAGAAGAAUAUCAAAAUGUCAAAAUGUCCAAGGAAUGUCCAAGGAUAGAGGUGACAAGAAAUAAAAUAAAAUAAAUGAUGAACUUAUCAUGAGUCAAAAUAAAUUAAAUCUUAACAGUUACCUUGAUUCAAUUAAUUCAGAAUGAAUGAACAAUGACAGCAUGAAAUGAACGACUGAACAAUGAAAUCAAUUAAAGAUAUUAAAGAAGAAUGAAGUAAAAAAUAAUAAUAAGCAUAAAGUAUAAAGUGAAGGCUGUAACCAACCUAAUGUAGAUAAUGUAAUGUAAUGCACUGUAAUAUAAGUAAUGCAAUAUACUGUAAAACAGAAUGUAAUAAUAAACUGAAUACAAAAUACAAAAUACAAGAAAUGAACUCAAUAAAUAUAAACGUAAAGAUUAUUAACUACAAUACUCUAUUUCUCACUAGAGUAGAUUAUAAGUUAGAUUGUAAACGGUAAAUGGUAGAUGAUAAAUGAUCAUGUCAAUACAAUUGCAAACAGAACUAAUUAAUGAAUGACAUAUCAAAAUAGAGUAGCUAAAGCAACAAAUAAAUGAACCAAAUAUAAAGUACGCAGUUCAAUAAACACUAUACCAGUGUAUAAACUGAAAUAACAA